GUCUUUUUGAUUUUAAUUUAAGGUUUAACCUGCCCACUGAGGAUUUAAAUGGCCGCGGUAAUUUGACCGUGCUAAGGUAGCAUAAUCAUUAGUUUUUUAAUUAAAAGCUGGAAUGAAAGGUUGGAUGAAAAAACUACUGUCUCUAAAUAAAUUUGAUUGAAUUUUAUUUUUAAGUAAAAAAGCUUAAAUAUAUUUAAAAGACGAGAAGACCCUAUAGAGUUUAAUAUAAAUUUUAGAUAAUUAUUUUUAGGAAUAUAAAUUUUAUGGAAAAGUUAUAUUUAAUUGGGGAGAUUGAAAAAUUUAAGUAACUUUUUAUAAAUUUAUUCAUAGAUUAAUGUUUUGAUGAUCCAUACUUUAUGAUUAUAAGAAUAAAUUACCUUAGGGAUAACAGCGUAAUUUUUUUUGAGAGUUCUAAUCGAAAAAAAAGUUUGCGACCUCGAUGUUGGAUUAAAAUUAAUUAUUGGUGUAGAUGCUAAUUGAUUGGGUCUGUUCGACCUUUAAAAUUUUACAUGA
rnacentral:rRNA from 1 species